AAACGGCGGUUAUCGACAGAGCCUGUAGCUGUGAUUGUGUGCGUGUUUGCCAAAAAGACAUAACUCAACUUCCAAGAGCUCCGUGACCUGUGGUUCUGCGACGCUCCGUGGACCUGUAUUUCUGCGACGCAGACCUGUGGCUGACCCCCUAUACCCUCUCUUGUGGCUGCUCUAUCUUUUGUCUUCUGUCUUCCUUCUAUCUCACAUCCUUAAGAACUUGACAUGCCGAGGAAAGGCAGGCGAUCCCAGGCUGUAAAGUUGAGCUGGGAGCGACGUGCCAAACGUCGAUGCUCCCCGCCACCAGUUACAUGCAGUGAUCCAACCUCACCUACCCGGCAUAAUGACUUCACAAGUGCAAAUACUGCACUUUUUGAAACUCCUGACACAUGUGCAUAUACUGCACUUUUUGAACCUGAACUUGAACAUGGCCUUGAGCCACAUUUUGAAACUGAACGCGGUCAUGAUCCACACUCUGAAACUGACGAACGUGGCCAUGAUCCACUUUGUCAAACUGAACGUGGUCAUGAUCCGCACUUUGAAACUGACGAACGUGGCCAUGAUCCACUUUGUCAAACUGCUGCACGUGCCCUUGAUGCACAUUUUGAGAUUGAUCAUCACCGUGCCAAUAUUGCACGAUUUGAGACUGAUUCCUGUGACAGUGGGCCUGACAUUCCCGCUGCAGCCAUGGCUACUGUGCAACCUCAUUUGGUAACGUAUGUGUUAGCAUCUCACAGCCAAGCUCAUCCGAGAUAUGGAGAAUUCAGAAACAGUCAAUGUGUGGCUAACUCUGUUACAUUGCUGGCUUUCUUGCAGGAGUUCAAUCACCUGACCAGCUCUGACCUUGAUGCUGUUCUUAAUGUCGGCAAUGAACUGUAUACAUGUACUGUUGCUGCAUUGAAAGCCCAAGGAUGCUUCUUGGACAGAUUUCUGAC